rnacentral:rRNA from 1 species
ACGGGAGGCAGCAGUGAGGAAUAUUGGUCCAUGGGCGAGAGCCUGAACCAGCCAAGUAGCGUGCAGGAUGACGGCCCUACGGGUUGUAAACUGCUUUUGCGCAGGGAUAAAAAAGCCCACGUGUGGGCUCUUGCAGGUACUGUGUGAAUAAGGACCGGCUAAUUCCGUGCCAGCAGCCGCGGUAAUACGGAAGGUCCGAGCGUUAUCCGGAUUUAUUGGGUUUAAAGGGUGCGCAGGCGGCACGUUAAGUCAGCGGUGAAAUGCAGGGGCUCAACCCCGGCACUGCCGUUGAAACUGGCGAGCUCGAGUACGGAUGAAGUCGGCGGAAUGUGAUGUGUAGCGGUGAAAUGCUUAGAUAUGUCACAGAACACCGAUUGCGAAGGCAGCUGACUAAUCCGCAACUGACGCUCAGGCACGAAAGCGUGGGGAUCGAACAGGAUUAGAUACCCUGGUA